UCUUUACUUAGUUUUUGAUUGGAGUGGCAAUUUAUUUUAAUUACCUUUUUCAUAGAAAAAGAGAAAUAAUUGUUAUGUAAGUCAUAUUUUUAAUGCGAGAUACACAUUAUUUUUUUGGGUCUAGAGAUCAUUUCGUAACUGUUAGGACAUGUCGUUUAUGCUUGCCGGAAGCUAUUUCAUCGUAGUACAAAUACGGCUAGCACGUUCACGUCUGAUAAACAGUAGAGGAAUCUGUCUUUUCAUUACGCCAUGUCGAAAAUAAUUAUUUUAUUAUUGGUCUUUGUUGCUGUGACGUCCGCAUUUCAUCUGCAAAAUGACCCUGGCAUUAUAAGACAAGUUUGUUACCAGUGGAAUGCCUAUUGUCAAAGCAGAGGUAUGGUCUGUAGGGCGUUCCAGCAGUUUGACGCCA